rnacentral:rRNA from 1 species
GGACUACUGGGGUAUCUAAUCCCGUUUGCUCCCCUGGCUUUCGUGUCUCAGUGUCAGCGAGCCCCCAGCGAGCUGUUUUCACCAUUGGCGUUCCAAAUGAUAUCUACGCAUUUCACCGCUCCACCAUUUGUUCCGCUCGCCCCUAGGCUGCUCAAGACCAGCAGUAUACCAAGCAGUUCCACGGUUGAGCCGUGGGAUUUCACAAGGUACUUACCAGUCCACCUACACACGCUUUAAGCCCAGUGAUUCCGCCUAACGCUUGGCACCUCUGUCUUACCGCGGCUGCUGGCAC